UCACUUACCUGGCAGGAAAGAUACCCUGAGCACAAAGGUAGUUUCACAGGGCGAGGUUCACUAAUUACACUGUUUGUGCUAGCCCCUGUGGUUUUCCCAAAUGUGGGAGACUCAACUGCGUAAUUUGUGCUCGUGGGCCACUGUGUUCAUGUUUUCCCCUG